UUUAUUAUCCUUGGCCCAACAACCUAUCCAUAGUGACUAAGCAAGGAAACUAGCAAAAAACUUGAAAGAAAUAUUAAACAUCAGAGGAGACUAAGGAAUUCUUUUGUAAUUGAAGAAAAUGACAGUGAGUUUUUGUCACGACCCUAUAUUCCCUCUGUAGGAUGUCGUGAUGACACCUAGUGUCUAAGACUAGGUAAGCCUAUCAAUGCGAAAUAACAAUAGAAAUAUGAAAUAGAUAAAUAUGCAACUCACUUAAUUACAACUCUCAAAACCCGAUAGAAAUAAGUCACAAGCUUCUAAGAAUUUAUCCUCAAUGUAUCUAUAUAUCAGGGUCUAAAGAAAGAUAAGGAAACAACAUAAUAAUGAUAAUGGACAUGGGGAAAAGUAGGAGACUCUGAGGUCUACGGACGCGGCAGAUAUACCUUGAAGUCUCCAAAGUUGUCCCAUCUCACUGAUAGUGCGGUUGAUAAGGAGUAUCUGGAUAUGCACACGAAAAACAUGUGCAGAAGAGUAGCAUGAUUACACCAUAAUCGGUACUCAUUAAGUGUCAAGCCUAACCUUGGUAUAUAUAAUAAUAAAGCAAAGCAGAAAUAAAAUAUCGCAAUAAAAUAAGGACUGAAAUUUAACAAGAAAGAAUUCAUACAAGGUAACAACUCAGUACACAGAAAUACAACAGGAGCUCUCCCGAGAUACCGCCUCGUUGUCCCAAACGUAAAUGUGCAGGGGGAUCUCCCGAAAUACCAUUUCGUAGUCCCAAAAUAAAUAUGCAAGACAGGGGGGGGGGAUCUCCUGAAAUACCAUUCCAUAGUCCCAAAAUAAAUAUGCAGUACAGGAGGAUCUCCCGGAAUACCGUUCUGUAGUCCCAAAGUAAAUAUGCAAGACAGGGAGAUCUCCCGGAAUACCGUUUCUUAGUCCCAAAGUAAAUAUACGGUACAGGGGGGUCUCCCAGAAUACCGUUCUGUAGUCCCAAAAUAAAUAUGCAGCCAAACAAUAGAAUUCAAUAGUUACAAGACAAAAUUCUACAGUUCAACCUAAGUACCAGUUAAGUAAAGACAGGUAAAUUCACUAAACAUGAUGCACGUAGUUCAAGUAAACAGUUAAGGCAAGUAGGCAUGUAAUUCUAGUCUAGAUGGAUACCACAUGCUGAUGGAACUCAAAUAAGACGGAAAUCAGGUUAUUACUUAGUAGAAAAAUCGAGUUUUUACACAAUUAUCCUGUGUAUGUACUCGUCACCUCACGUACACGACGCUCAUAUAUCAAAAACAACAGUACAAAUCCUACGUGGAGUUCCCCCACACAAAGUUAGGCAAGUCACUUGCCUCGAACCAAGCUCAAUCAAUCGGUAAGAAUGCCUUAUCCACGAAUAUCCGACUCUGAAUGGCUCGAAUCUAGCCAAAAUAAUUCGAUACAGUCAACAAAAAUUAUAUGAAUCAAUUUCAUAAGAAAAUACUAUAUUUUUCAAUAAAAAUCCGAAAUUAACUCAAAAAUUGCCCAUAGGGCGCACGUAUCAGAAUCCGGAAAAACUCACAAAAUCCAACAACCCAUUCAAUUAGGAGUCAAACCAUACCAGUUUCACCCAAAUUCGACUCUGAAUCGACACCGAAAUCUCAAAAUUCCGUUUCAAAAUACUAAUUAAAUAAUGAAAACAAAUGAUGGAUUUGGGUAAUCUAACCAUAAUUGAGUUAAGAACACUUACCUGAUGUUUUCCUUGAAAAUAUCCCAAAAAUCGCCUGUCCCCAAACUCCAAUUCGUCAAAAAUGGCACAGGGCCUGUUUUAUAAUUUUGUCUAGGCAGCCCUCGGUCCUGCGUCGAUCAUGGCUUCAAUCAUGACCCUCGAUCCUGGGCCUCGAUCCUGACCUUCAAUUCUGGGCAUCGAUCAUGGCUUCGAUCCUAGCCCUCGAUCCUGGACUUCGAUCAUGGACCUCGAUUCUGGCCUUCGAUCAUGGCCCUUGAUCCUGAGCCUUCCAUCAUGGCCCUCGAUACUGGCCCUCGACCCUGGCUUCGAUUCAGGCCCUCGACCUUGGGCUCAAUUUCUGGGUUCGAUUUCUCCAUUUCCAGCUUUUUAAGUCCAACUUUUGAUCUGUUAACCAUCUGAAACUUACCCGAGGCCCUUGGGACUUCAACAAAAUACACCAAAAAGUUCUAAAACAAUAUACAAACUUAUUUGAAACCUCAAAUCACAUCAAACGCUAAAAAUCACAAUUCACACCCCAAUUCAAGCUUAAUGAAACUAAAUUUUCAACUUCUACAUUCGAUCCCAAAAUCUAUCAAAUCAAGUCCGAUUGACAUCAAAUUUUGCACACAAGUCAUAAAUGACAUAAUGGAGCUAUGAAAAUUUUCAGAACUGGAUUCCAACCCCGAUACCAAAACGUCAACUCCCCGGUCAAACUUCCAAACUUAAAUUCCUAUUUUAGUCAUUUCAAGCCUAAAUGAGCUACAGAUCUCCAAAACACAAUCUGGACAAGCCCCUAAACCCAAAAUCACCCAACGGAGCUAAUGAAACCGACGUAAUUCUAUUCCGGAGUCAUCUUCAUACAAUUCUGACUACGGUCCAAAUCCUAAGGCUUAAACCUCAAUUUAGGGACUAAGUGUCCCAAAACACUCCAAAAAAUAAAACGAAACCUCCCGACAAGUCACAAUAGCAGGAAUUGAUAUGUGAGAAGCAGUAAAUAGGGGAUCAGGGCUAUUACUCUCAAAACAAUUGGCCGGAUCGUUACAUCCCCCCCCCUCUUCAAGCAAUCGUUCGUCCUCGAACGAGCAUAGAGACAUACCUGUAGUGGUGAAAAUAUGAGGAUAACGGUUAUGCAUAUCUUGUUCAGUCUCCCAAGUCGCCUCCUCGACCAGAUGACCCCUCCACUGAACCUUCACGGAAGCAAUGUCCUUUGACCUUAACUUUCGCACCUGCUUGUCCAAAAUAGCCAUUGGUUCCUCAACAUAAGAUAGAUCCUUGUUCAACUAAACUGAAGUCUAACACAUGAGAUGGAUCGACGUGAUACUUCCGGAGCAUAGAAACAUGGAACAAUGGAUGAACUAUAGAGAGACUAGGUGAUAGUGUAAGUCUGUAAGUCACCUCCCCAACUCAAUAAUCUCAAAAGGACCAAUAUACAUAGGGCUCAACUUGCCCUUCUUCCCGAACCUCAUAACACCUUUCAUAGGCGAAACACGGAGCAAGACCCGCUCACCAACCAUGAAUGCAAUAUCGCGAACCUUCCGAUCCGCAUAAAUCUUCUAUCUGGACUGGGCUAGGCGAAGUCUAUCCUGAAUCACCUUAACUUUCUCCAAGGCAUCCUGAACCAAGUCUGUACCCAAUAGCCUAGCCUCGACCGGUUCGAACCAACCCACUGGAGACCGGCACCGCCUACUAUACAAGGCCUCAUACGGAGCCAACUGAAUGCUCGAAUGGUAGUUGUUGUUAUAUGCAAACUACGCAAGUGGCAAGAACUGAUCCCAAGCACCCCCAAAAACUAUCACACACGCACGGAGCAUAUCCUCCAGUAUUUGAAUAGUGCGCUAGGACUGUCCAUCAGUGUGAGGGUGAAAUGUUGUGCUCAACUAAACCCGAGUACCCAACUCAUGUUGUACAACUCUCCAGAACUGUGAUGUAAAUUGCAUACCCCGGUCAGAGAUGAUGGAUACCGGUACGCCAUGAAGUCUAACGAUCUCGUGGACAUAAAUUUGAGCCAACUACUCGGAAGAAUAGGUAGUCAUCAUAUAAAUAAAAUGAGUUGACUUGGUCAGCCUGUCCACAAUCACCCAAACUGCAUCAAACUUCCGCGAAGUCUGUGGGAGUCCACCAAUGAUCUCCAUAGUGAUUCGCUCCCAUUUCCAAUACGGAAUCUCUAGCUUCUGAAGCAACCCACCUGGUCGUUGAUCCUCAUACUUCACCUGCUGGUAAUUUAGACACCGGGCCACAUACUCUACUAUGUUCUUCUUCAUCCUCCUCCACCAGUAAUGUUGUCUCAAGUCCUGAUACAUCUUUGCGGCACCCGGAUGAACAGAGUAUCGCGAACUGUGAGCCUCUUGGAGAAUCAACUCACGCAAACCAUCUACAUUGGGCACGCAUAGCCUGCCCUACAUCCUCAAUGCACCAUCAUCUCCAAUAGUGACAUCUCUAGCAUUACCUCGCCGAACCCUGUCCUGAAGGACGAGUAGAUGGGGGUCAUUAUACUGACUCUCCCUGAUACGAUCCUAAAGAGAAAAUCGAGAGACCACACAAGCCAAUACUCGACUUAGCUCAGAAAUAUCCAAUCUCACAAACUGGCUAAGGCCUGAACAUCCAACGCCAAUGGCCUCUCUGCUGCUGGUAGAUAUGCUAAACUCCCCAAGCUCUCCGCCUUAUGACUCAAGGCAUAGGCCACUACAUUGGCCUUCCCGGGAUGAUAGAGAAUGGUGAUAUCAUAAUCCUUAAGUAACUCCAACCACCUCCUCUAACACAAAUUAAGAUCAUUCUGCUUGAACAGAUGCUGCAAACUCCGGUGAUCAGUGUAAAUCUCACAAGGAACACCGUACAAAUAAUGCCGCCAAAUCUUCAAGGCAUGAACAAUAGCUGCUAACUCCAGGUCAUGAACAUGACAGUUCUUUUCAUGCACCAUCAGCUGUCUGGAUGCAUAGGCAAUCACCCUACCGUCCUGCAUCAACACCGUGCCGAGACCAAUCCGCGAUGCAUCACAAUAUACAGUAUAAGACCCUGAACAUGUAGGCAACACCAAUAUUGGGGAUGUAGUCAAAGUUGUCCUGAGCUUUUGGAAUCUCUCCUCACAUUCCUCGGUCCACCUGAACGGAGCACCCUUCUGGGUAAAUUUGCUCAUAGGUGCAGCAAUAGAAGAGAAACCCUCUACAAAUCUACGGUAAUACCCCGCCAAACUAAGAAAACUCUGGAUCUCUGUAGUUGAGGAUGGUCUGGACCAACUCUGCACUGCUUCAAUCUUCUUCAGGUCUACCUUGAUCCCCUCACUCAAUACUAUAUGACCCAAGAAUGCCACUGAGUCUAGCCAAAACUCACCCUUUAAAGUCUGAAGCACAGUCCUGAGGUGCUGCUCAUGAUCCUCCCGACUCAGGAAGUACACCAGAAUGUCGUCAAUAAACACAAUGACAAACGAGUCAAGAUAAGGCCAGAACACACAGUGCAUCAAGUGCAUAAAAAUUGUCGGUGUAUUGGUCGACCCAAAAGACAUAACAAGAAACUCAUAGUGACCAUACCGAGUCCUGAAAGCAGUCUUCGGGAUAUCUGGCUCCCAAAUCUUCAACUGAUGAUAACCUGAACGCAAGUCAAUCUUAGAAAAUACUCUAGCACCCUGUAACUGAUAAAAUAGGUCAUCAAUACAAGGCAAAGGAUACCGGUUCUUCACUAUGACUUUGUUCAACUGGCGGUAAUGAAUACACAUCCGCAUAGAACCAUCCUUCUUCUUCACAAAUAAGACAGGAACACCCUAAGGUGACACACUGGGCCGAAUGAAGCCCUUAUCAAGCAACUCCUGUAACUGCUCUUUCAACUCCUUCAAUUCAGGAAAAGCCAUACGAUAUGGAGGAAUAGAGAUGGGUAGAGUGUCUGGCAACAAAUCAAUGCCAAAAUCAAUAUCUCUGUCGGGCGGCAAGCCCGGAAUAUCAACUGGAAACACAUUUGGAAAGUCCUUCAUUACUGGAACUGACACAACUGUAGGGGUAUCUCUAUACUGACAUCUUUCACAUAAGCUAGAUAUGCGUCACACCCCUUCUCAACCAUUCGCUGAGCUUUAAGAAAUGAAAUAACUCUGCUGGGAGUAUACUCUAAGGUACCUCUCCACUCUAAUCGCGGAAGUCUUGGCAUAGCCAACGUCACGGUCUUAGCGUGACAAUCAAGAAUAGCAUAAUGGGGUGACAACCAGUCCAUGCCCAAAAUAAUAUCAAAGUCCACCAUGUUGAGCAAUAAUAAAUUGGCUCUGGCCUCAAAACCACUAAAAGCAAUCAAACACGACUGAUGCAGGUGGUCCACAACAAGAGAAUCUCCCACAUGAGUAAACACAUAAAAGGGAACUCAAAGAAUUCCGAGAUACACCAAAAUACAGGACAAAAUAAGAAGACACAUAGGAAUAUGUUGAGCCUGGGUCAAAUAAUACCGACGCAUCUCUAUGACAGACUGGAACACUACCUGUAAUGAUAGAAUUAGAAGCAACUACCUAUGUACAAGCAGGAAGGGCAUAAUAUCUGGCUUGGCCUCCCCCUCUAGGGCGACCUCUACCUCCCGGCCUCCACUUCGGGCUGGCUGAGCAGGUGCGGUGGCAGCUGGUUCUAUAAUCAUAGCUUGAGGACCCGGUGGAGCACGUUGUGUCUGAGAAGUCUGUGGAGGUGCACCCCUCCUAAACCUGGGGUAAUCCCUCACCAUAUGGCGAGUGUCGCCACACUCAAAACAAGCUCUGGGAGGGCGUGGCUGCUAUGAUUGGCUCAGGCCAGGUCUGCUGGACUGGCCGCUAGGAACACCCAGUGCAGGAGGCACACUAGAUAAUGGCGGUGCAAAAUAAGGCUCCUGGGGCCUAGAAGGAACUGGAACACCGCUGGCAGCUGGAAGAGCUGAAUGAACGGGGCGACUCACAUAACCCCUACCAUGGCAAGCUACUGGGGAACGAGCACAAGAAUAAGAACCAGUCUCUCGAGACCUCUUGUCCUCUCUCUCCUCUCUAUUUCGGGCAAGCAUGCCCUCCAAUCUCCUAGCGAUACUCACAACCUGCUGAUAAGAAAUAUCCAUCUCCAACUCCCUAGCCAUACUAAUCCAGAUACUGGGGUGGAGUCCCUCAAUAAACCGUCAAUCCCUCUCUCAAACUAUGGCAACCAAGGUCGGUGCAUGUCAGGCCAAAUCACUGAAACGGACUACAUACUCUGACACAGUCAUGGAUCCAUGGCGCAGUUGCUCAAACUCCGCGCGCCAUGAGUCCUUGAGGCUCUGAUGGACAUACUCUAUCAAAAACAUAUCCGAGAACUGAGUCCAUGUAAGUGAAACUGCAUCAUCCGUACUACUCAGCUCAUAAGCAUGCCACCACUGAUAAGCUACUCCUCUAAGUUGGAAUGUAUUAAAAGAAACCCCGCUUGUCUCCAUUACGCCCAUAGUACGGAGAAUACAAUGACACUCCUCCAGAAAACCAUGAGCAUCAUCUGUAGCCAAUCCGCUGAAGGUAGGUGGGGUGGUACUUCUUGUACCUCUCAAGCAUGAGCUGCUCCACCUUAGAAGUUGUUGCUCUAACCUCGAGUUGAGUUGGAGCUACCAGCUGCAUUGGUACAAUCUUUGGAACCUGGUCGACCUGAACCCGCUGCUCUAGACUACCGGCGACGGGAGUUUGUGCUCCUCCCCCGGCCCGAGAUGUGGCAGGAGCAAGUGGGAUCAAUCCAGCCUGAGCUAAGGUGCUGAACAUGCUCAGAAACUAGGCUAGAGUCUCCUAGAGGGCUGGUGCAGAAACAGGUACCUCAAGUGUCUGCCCUCCAGCUGGAGCUACUAGGGGCUCCUCUAUAGCAGCUCAUGCGGAUGCUCUGGCUGCACCAUGUGGACGUCCUCGACCUCUUCCCCGACCCCGACCUCUCGCGGCUUUAUCAGGGGGAACGGGUUCCUGGUCAUCAAAUCCGCUCAUACGUGUCCUCACCAUCUGUGAGAGAAUAGAAUAUAGAAGUUUAGAAUUAUUUUUUUCNNNNNNNNNNNNNNNNNNNNNNNNNNNNNNNNNNNNNNNNNNNNNNNNNNNNNNNNNNNNNNNNNNNNNNNNNNNNNNNNNNNNNNNNNNNNNNNNNNNNNNNNNNNNNNNNNNNNNNNNNNNNNNNNNNNNNNNNNNNNNNNNNNNNNNNNNNNNNNNNNNNNNNNNNNNNNNNNNNNNNNNNNNNNNNNNNNNNNNNNNNNNNNNNNNNNNNNNNNNNNNNNNNNNNNNNNNNNNNNNNNNNNNNNNNNNNNNNNNNNNNNNNNNNNNNNNNNNNNNNNNNNNNNNNNNNNNNNNNNNNNNNNNNNNNNNNNNNNNNNNNNNNNNNNNNNNNNNNNNNNNNNNNNNNNNNNNNNNNNNNNNNNNNNNNNNNNNNNNNNNNNNNNNNNNNNNNNNNNNNNNNNNNNNNNNNNNNNNNGCAAGACUCUACUAAACCUGCUUGUGACUUAUAACACCUAUGAACCUAGAGCUAUGAUACCAACUUGUCACGACCCCAUAUAUUCCCUCUGUAGGAUGUCGUGAUGGCACCUAGUCUCUAAGACUAGGUAAGCCUAUCAAUGUGGAAUAACAAUAGAAAUAUAAAAUAAAUAAAUUUGCAAUUCACUUAAUUACAACUCCCAAAACCCGGUAGAAAUAAGUCACAAGCUUCUAAGAAUUUAUCCACAAUGUAUCUAUACAUCAGGGUCUAAAGAAAGAUAAGGAAGCAACAUAAUAAUGAUAAUGGACAUGGGAAAAAAUAGAAGGGGACUCCGAGGUCUGCAGAGGCGCAGAUAUACCUUGAAGUCUCCAAAGUUGUCCGAGCUCACUGAUAGUGCGGCUGAUAAGGAGUAUAUGGAUCUGCACACGAAAAAUAUGUGCAGAAAAGUAGCAUGAGUACACUAUAAUCGGUACCUAUUAAGUGACAAGCCUAACCCCGGUCGAGUAGUGACGAGGUCAGGUCAUGACCCUACUGGUAUAUAUAAUAAUAAAGCAAGGCAGAAAUGAAAUAUCGCAAUAAAAUAAGGACUGAAAUUUAACAAGAAUUCAUAGAAGAUAACAGCUUAGUACACAAAAAUACAACAGGGGAUCUCCCGAGAUACCGUCUCGUAGUCCCAAACGUAAAUGUGCAGGGGGUUCUCCCGAAAUACCAUUUCGUAGUCCCAAAGAAAAUAUGCAAGACAGGGGGGGGCUCCCGAAAUACCGUUCCGUAGUCCCAAAAUAAAUAUGUAGUAUAGGGGGAUCUCUCGGAAUACCGUUCCGUAGUCCCAAAAUAAAUAUGCAGCCAAACAAUAGAAUUCAAUAGUUACAACAUGAAAUUCUACAGUUCAACCUAAGUACCAGUUAUGUAAAGACAGGUAAAUUCACUAAACAAGGUGCACGUAGUUCAAGUAAACAGUUAAGGCAAGUAGGCAUGCUAGUCUAGCUGGAUACCACACAUGCUGAUAGAACUCAAAUAAGAAGGAAAUCAGAUUAUUACAUAGUAGAAAAAUCGGGUUUUUACACAAUUAUCAUGUGUACGUACUCGUCACUUCACGUACACGGCGCUCAUAUAUCAAAAACAACAGUACAAAUCCUACGGGGAGUUCCCCCACACAAAGUUAGGCAAGCCACUUACCUCGAACCAAGCUCAAUCAAUUGGUAAGAAUGCCUUUUCCAAGAAUAUCCGACUCUGAAUGGCUCAAAUCUAGCCAAAAUAAUUCGAUAUAGUCAUCAAAAAUUAUACGAAUCAAUUUCAUAAGAAAAUACUAUAUUUUUCAAUAAAAAUCCAAAAUUAACUCAAAUAUCGCUCGUGGGGCCCAAGUAUCGGAAUCCGGAAAAACUCACAAAAUCCGAUAACUCAUUCAAUUACGAAUCCAACCAUACCAGUUUCACCCAAAUCCGACUCCGAAUCGACACCGAAAUCUCAAAAAUCCAUUACUAUGAAUUUUAUAAACUUUUCCCAAAUUUAAAUCUCAAAACACAAAUUAAAUGAUGAAAACAAAUGAUGGAUUCGGGUAAUCUAACCAAAUUGAGUUAAGAACACUUACCCCGAUGUUUUCUCUGAAAAUAUCCCAAAAAUCGCUUCUCCCCAAACUCCAAUUCGUCAAAAAUGGCACAGGGGACGACGUCCCUUGUUUUAUGAUUCUGUCUAGGCAACCCUCGGUCCUGCCUCGAUCAUGGCCCUCGAUCAUGGCGUCGAUCAUCCCUCGAUCAUGGGCCUCAAUCCUGACCUUCGAUCUUGGGCAUCGAUCAUGGCCCUCGAUCAUGGCCCUCGAUCCUGAGCCUUCGAUCCUGGCCCUCAAUCUUGAGCAUCGAUCUUGAGCAUCGAUCCUGGCUUCGAUUCUGGCCCUCGGCCCUAGGCUCAAUUUCUGGGUUCGAUUUCUGCAUUUCCAAGAAAAUUGCAGUAGCUGUUUAAGUCCAACUUUUGAUCUGUUAACCAUUCGAAAAUUACCCGAGGCCUUCGGGACCUCAAGCAAAUACACAAAAAUGUCCUAAAACAUCAUACGAACUUAUUUGAAACCUCAAAUCACAUCAUACAACGCUAAAAUCACAAUUCACACCCCAAUUUAAGCUUAAUGAAACUGAAUUUUCAACUUCUACAUUCGAUGUCGAAAUCUAUCAAAUCAAGUCCGAUUGACCUCAAAUUUUGCACACAAGUCAUAAAUGAUAUAACGGAGCUAUGAAAAUUUUCAGAACUGGAUUCCGAUCCCGAUACCAAAAAGUCAACUCCCCGGUCAAACUUCCAAACUUAAAUUCAUAUUUUAGCCAUUUCAAGCCAAAAUGAGCUACAGACCUCCAAAACACAAUCCGGACAAACCCCUAAACCCAAAAUCACCUAACAGAACUAACGGAAUCGACGAAAUUCUAUUCCGGAGUCAUCUUCAUACAGUUCUGACUACGGUCCAAAUCGUAAGGCUUAAACCUCCAUUUAGGGACUUAGUGUCCCAAAACACUCCAAAAACUAAAACGAAACCUCCUAGCAAGUCACAAUAGCAGGAAUAGAUAUGGGAGAAGCAGUAAAUAGGGGAUUAGGGCUAUUACUCUCAAAACGACUGCUCGGGUCGUUACAGUUUUUAAGUGCAAACUACUGCCCCAACUUUAAAACUAAUACUUCAACAUGUUAAUCCAAGAUAUCAAAGAGAUGAUCACAAAGAGAACUAAGAUUAAACAACAUCCAUAGUGUGCGCAAUAUUUAUUCAAACUCAAAAGAAUAACAAUCAACAUUAAUUCAAAAAACAAAAAAAAAGUUAAAGAUGGGCCUUUAUAGUACUGAACCAAAGCUAAAAAUUUACAGCUCAAUCACGCCAAACAGAGCAGCGGUUAUUGGUUGAAAGCUAAAGCUACUUUGUUGCGUGCUUCAGCUAGGUUUUGGGGUUGUUUAGGAAGGCCGUUUGGUUGCGUUUUUGCUGGUUUUUUGGACCGCCUUCAUGGCUGUUUUUCAGCUGUUUCUUUUGCUAUUUUCCGUAGUUGUUUCCCAAUGGUUUAAGGUGUUUGUAGGAGAUGGUUUUGUUGCUGGUUUUUGUGCAAAAGAGCUGCGUUUUUUGGUCAUUUUCAUGAAAGUUUCAGGUGAGUUUAUGGACUUUUUCGAGCUGCUUUUAGAGGGCUUUCAUGGCUGGAAAAUGGUGAGAAGCGGCUCCAAGCAUGCAUGAGUUUUCAAUCCUCAAAUAGAAUCUCGAUUUACCAUAAAUGGAACACUGACUAUUCAAGGCAAAUCAGAACUUUGUGCAUAUUACUUCAAACGUUCAAGACACAAAAUCGAGAUCUAACAACCGAACUUCGAGAUUUUUGCACAUAACAUUAACUACACCUCAAACUAACAACACUUAAUGCUCACAAAUUGCUCCCACGAGACACAACAUCAAUUUCCAUACUUGUUUUUGUCAUUAUCACUUAAAUCACAACAUGUUCCAGGUAUCAGUUAAAUCAAACGCUUCAAUCAAUGUUAUAACAUUGCACUUAUGCUAAAACUAAAUUUCAACAGAUUCAAAUAUGCUCAAACUAAAUUUCAACAGAUUCAAACAAUUGAAGCACAUGAACUAGAAAAUUCCGUUACGAAUCAGAGAGGAGAUACAUGAUUGAGAUAUGUACCUGGUCGCUAAGGAAUCAACCUAAAAUUUGCCAAAUAAAGGCUAGAAAGGAGGAAAAGUUGGAGCUCAACUGCAGUUUAUUUGCAAAACAGCCUCAAUUACCAGCUGAAAUCAACUUGAAAACCCAUGGACGUGUGAAUAAACUCUUCAAUGCUCGAUUUCACUUCAAGUUCUACUUGAAAUCUCUAUUUUUGCAUUUUUUAGGGCUUUUGUUUUUGUUCUCAGAUCUGAUUUUUGAAUUCGAAUUCAGAAUGAGUGGGUGUGCGUCAAUGAAUCCAGAGAGAGUUGAAAAGAGAAAGAACGUGUGAGAGGAGGGUCUGUGGGUGAGAAAAUCUUUUCGUGAGUGUGUAAGAGCGGAGGAGAAGGAGGAUAUGUGAGAGUGAGAGAGGGGACUAAUGGGGGCGGCUAGGGUUUUCUAAAGGGUGGGGGUUCAGGUCCGUCCGUCUCUUUGAAGAAGAGAGGAGGGUUUGGGCGUUUAAGGGAGUGAGAAGGAGGAACGACGUCGUUUUGGU
rnacentral:lncRNA from 1 species